ensembl:lncRNA
CUUUUAAUGUGACUCAAGUAUUUUGCAACGACGAGUUGCUCUUUAGUGAAACUCAGAUUGCAGACUGCACAGGUCUCCCUCCACCUAAUACUGUGUGCCAGCACGGAGGUCGGGCAUUUGUUUCCAUCGAUACACCCGGUAGCUGCGAUUUUGAAGGAGCCAGUUACAUCAAGACCACAAAAUGUACAAACUCCACCAAAGCUUGUACCUUCACCAAUGGUAAGCUUUUCCUGCAGAUACACACUUUACAUCAUGCUGCUUGCUAUUGUCAUUCACCAUUAACUAGAGUAUUUUUUUCUCUCUGCCGCAGCUACCACAUCAUCAUCAAAUACAACAAUGAAUGUACAGGAGCCCCAGAAAAGUCCCAUAUCACCCGCUGUCUAUGUGGUUCUUGGUAG